rnacentral:rRNA from 1 species
UACGGAGGGUGCAAGCCUUGAUCGGAAUUACUGGGCGUAAAGGGCGCGUAGGCGGCCGAGAAAGUCAGAUGUGAAAUUCCGGGGCUCAACCCCGGAGCUGCAUUUGAAACUUCUCGGCUAGAGGAUGGUUAGGGAAAACGGAAUUCCACGUGUAGCGGUGAAAUGCGUAGAUAUGUGGAAGAACACCGGUGGUGAAGACGGUUUUCUGGGCCAAACCUGACGCUGAGGCGCGAAAGCUAGGGGAGCAAACAGG